GAGUUUGAUCCUGGCUCAGAUUGAACGCUGGCGGCAUGCCUUACACAUGCAAGUCGAACGGCAGCACGGGAGCUUGCUCCUGGUGGCGAGUGGCGAACGGGUGAGUAAUGCAUCGGAACGUAUCCUGGAGUGGGGGAUAACGUAGCGAAAGUUACGCUAAUACCGCAUAUUCUGUGAGCAGGAAAGCGGGGGACCUUCGGGCCUCGCGCUCUUGGAGCGGCCGAUGUCGGAUUAGCUAGUUGGUGAGGUAAAGGCUCACCAAGGCGACGAUCCGUAGCAGGUCUGAGAGGAUGAUCAGCCACAUUGGGACUGAGACACGGCCCAAACUCCUACGGGAGGCAGCAGUGGGGAAUAUUGGACAAUGGGCGAAAGCCUGAUCCAGCAAUGCCGCGUGUGUGAAGAAGGUCUUCGGAUUGUAAAGCACUUUUGGCAGGGACGAUGAUGACGGUACCUGCAGAAUAAGCCCCGGCUAACUUCGUGCCAGCCGCCGCAGUAAU
rnacentral:rRNA from 1 species